rnacentral:rRNA from 1 species
GAUGAACGCUGGCGGCGUGCCUAAUACAUGCAAGUCGAGCGAACGGACGAGAAGCUUGCUUCUCUGAUGUUAGCGGCGGAAGGGUGAGUAACACGUGGAUAACCUACCUAUAAGACUGGGAUAAAUUCGGGAAACCGGAGCUAAUACCGGAUAAUAUUUUGAACCGCAUGGUUCAAAAGUGUAAGACGGUCUUGCUGUCACUUAUACAUGGAUCCGCGCUGCAUUAGCUAGUUGGUAAGGUAACGGCGUACCAAGGCAACGAUGCAUAGCCGACCUGAGAGGGUGAUCGGCCACACUGGAACUGAGACACGGUCCAGACUCCUACGGGAGGCAGCAGUAGGGAAUCUUCCGCAAUGGGCGAAAGCCUGACGGAGCAACGCCGCGUGAGUGAUGAAGGUCUUCGGAUCGUAAAACUCUGUUAUUAGGGAAGAACAUAUGUGUAAGUAACUGUGCACAUCUUGACGGUACCUAAUCAGAAAGCCACGGCUAACUACGUG